UCAAAUUUGAAAUCUGGGCCUUUCAGGCUCCGAGUUGUAAUUUGUAGAAGAUGCUUUGGGUGCGGCCCCGGUCUAAGUUCCUUGGAACAGGACGUCAUAGAGGGUGAGAAUCCCGUAUGUGAUCGGUGGCCUGCGCCCGUGUAAAGCUCUUUCGACGAGUCGGGUUGUUUGGGAAUGCAGCUCUAAAUGGGUGGUAAAUUUCAUCUAAAGCUAAAUAUUGGCCAGAGACCGAUAGCGCACAAGUAGAGUGAUCGAAAGAUGAAAAGCACUUUGGAAAGAGAGUUAAACAGUACGUGAAAUUGUUGAAAGGGAAGCGCUUGCAACCAGACUUGCGCGGGGUUGAUCAUCCGGGGUUCUCCCCGGUGCACUCGGCCCCGCUCAGGCCAGCAUCGGUUUCGGUGGUUGGAUAAAGGCCUUGGGAAUGUGACUUCCUUCGGGGAGUGUUAUAGCCCUCGGUGCAAUGCAGCCUACCGGGACCGAGGACCGCGCUUCGGCUAGGAUGCUGGCGUAAUGGUUGUAAGCGACCCGUCUUGAAACACGGACCAAGGAGUCUAACAUCUAUGCGAGUGUUUGGGUGUCAAACCCAUACGCGUAAUGAAAGUGAACGGAGGUGAGAACCCUUAAGGGUGCAUCAUCGACCGAUCCUGAUGUCUUCGGAUGGAUUUGAGUAAGAGCAUAGCUGUUGGGACCCGAAAGAUGGUGAACUAUGCCUGAAUAGGGUGAAGCCAGAGGAAACUCUGGUGGAGGCUCGCAGCGGUUCUGACGUGCAAAUCGAUCGUCAAAUUUGGGCAUA
rnacentral:rRNA from 1 species